UGAUGCAAUGGAGACAUGAGUCAGACCUGGGAUGGAUCCCACCCCUUGGUUCAUUUGCUAUAUACCUACCACUGGCAAGUCAUUAACCUCUCUGUGCCAGCUACCUUAUUCAUAAAAGGACAAAACCCCUUACCCAAAGGGUCAAGAUUAAACAACACCACUUUUACAAAUACAGGCUAGAAUGGGAUAUUAAGCACGCCUCGCAGAGGGAAUGAGCAAAGGCAAGUGAGAAU